rnacentral:rRNA from 1 species
ACGGCGAGUGAAGCGGCAMCAGCUCAGAUUUGAAAUCUGSCCCUCUCCAGGGGCCCGAGUUGUAAUCUGUAGGGGAUGCUUCUGGCGAGGUGCCUACCAAGUCCACUGGAACGUGGCGCCACAGAGGGUGAGAGCCCCGUACUGUAGGACCCCGAGCCCUCUGUGAAGCUCCUCCGACGAGUCGAGUAGUUUGGGAAUGCUGCUCUAAAUGGGAGGUAAAUUUCUCCUAAAGCUAAAUACCGGCCAGAGACCGAUAGCGCACAAGUAGAGUGAUCGAAAGAUGAAAAGCACUUUGAAAAGAGGGUUAAACAGCACGUGAAAUUGUUGAAAGGGAAGCGCCUGUGACCAGACUCGUGCCCGGCGGAUCAUCCAGCCUUCUGGCUGGUGCACUGCGCCGGGUCCGGGCCAGCAUCGGCUCUCUCUGGGGGAUAAAGGCCCUGGGAACGUAGCUCUCUCCGGGGAGUGUUAUAGCCCAUCGCACAAUGCCUCAGGGGGGGCCGAGGACCGCGCUUCGGCAAGGAUGCUGGCGUAAUGGUCAUCAGCGACCCGUCUUGAAACACGGACCAAGGAGUCAACUAUUGGGGCAAGUCUAUGGGUGCAAAACCCGCUGGCGCAAUGAAAGUGAACGCAGGUGAGAGCUUCGGCGCAUCAUCGACCGAUCCUGAUGUUCUCGGACGGAUUUGAGUAAGAGCCCUAAUAUUUGGACCCGAAAGAUGGUGAACUAUGCCUGGGAUAGGGUGAAGCCAGAGGAAACUCUGGUGGAGGCUCGCAGCGGUUCUGACGUGCAAAUCGAUCGUCAAAUUUGGGCAUAGGGGCGAAA